UAUCUCUCCGUACGGGGAAGGAUGAGAAGCUUCGACCAAGGUUCGAUUCGAGCGUCAGCGAGAAAGCGUUGCCGCAGGCAACGACCCGAAGGGUGAGGAGCGCAGCGCUGAGUCAUCCUUCCCCCACCACCA
rnacentral:sRNA from 1 species